UGGGGAAUAUUGGACAAUGGGGGCAACCCUGAUCCAGCCAUGCCGCGUGAGUGAUGAAGGCCUUCGGGUUGUAAAGCUCUUUUGGCGGGGACGAUGAUGACGGUACCCGCAGAAUAAGCCCCGGCUAACUUCGUGCCAGCAGCCGCGGUAAGACGAAGGGGGCUAGCGUUGUUCGGGAUUACUGGGCGUAAAGCGAGUGUAGGUGGUUGUCCAAGUUGGAUGUGAAAGCCUUGAGCUCAACUCAAGAAAUGCAUUCAGGACUGGAUGACUAGAGGACCGGAGAGGAUAGUGGAAUUCCCAGUGUAGUGGUGAAAUACGUAGAGAUUGGGAAGAACACCAGUGGCGAAGGCGGCUAUCUGGACGGUUUCUGGCACUAAGACUCGAAAGCGUGGGGAGCAAACAGGAUUAGAUACCCUGGUAGUCCACGCCGUAAACGAUGGGUGCUAGACGUUGGCGAGCUUGCUCGUCAGUGUCGCAGCUAACGCGUUAAG
rnacentral:rRNA from 1 species